GGACCCGAGUGCCAGCAUCAUAUGCUGGCUGUCCGGGUGUGUAAAAUACACCUGUUAGCAAGGGCCGGGCAAGACCGGUGCCAGCCGCCGCGGUAACACCGGCGGCCCGAGUGGUGAUCGUGAUUAUUGGGUCUAAAGGGUCCGUAGCCGGUUUGGUCAGUCCUCCGGGAAAUCUGACGGCUUAACCGUUAGGCUUUCGGAGGAUACUGCCAGGCUUGGAACCGGGAGAGGUAAGAGGUACUACAGGGGUAGGAGUGAAAUCUUGUAAUCCCUGUGGGACCACCUGUGGCGAAGGCGUCUUACCAGAACGGGUUCGACGGUGAGGGACGAAAGCUGGGGGCACGAACCGGAUUAGAUACCCGGGUAGUCCCAGCCGUAAACGAUGCUCGCUAGGUGUCAGGCAUGGCGCGACCGUGUCUGGUGCCGCAGGGAAGCCGUGAAGCGAGCCACCUGGGAAGUACGGCCGCAAGGCUGAAACUUAAAGGAAUUGGCGGGGGAGCAC
rnacentral:rRNA from 1 species